rnacentral:lncRNA from 1 species
GCAGUUUCAGAAAUUCUUAGCCACACAACCACAUGCUAUGUCAGCCUCCACUCAUAUAGGUUUGUUAUCACAGAAUCACUCAGGUAUUUCUUCCUCUUGGAUCUUUGACUCAGGUGCUUCCAAACACAUGUCGUCUAAUUCAAAACUCUUUAAUGACUUGCGUCCUUCCAACCCAUCUAUGUCUGUUAUGACUGCUGAUGGUACACCAUUACCUUUAGCA